UACAGAGGGGGCAAGCGUUGUUCGGAAUUACUGGGCGUAAAGGGCGCGUAGGCGGCCCGCUAAGUCGAACGUGAAAUCCCCAGGCUCAACCUGGGAACUGCGUCCGAUACUGGCAGGCUUGAAUCCGGGAGAGGGAUGUGGAAUGCUUGGUGUAGAGGUGAAAUUCGUAGAUAUCAAGCGGAACACCGGUGGCGAAGGCGGCCUUCUGGACAGUGACUGACGCUGAGACGCGAAAGCGUGGGGAGCAAACAGG
rnacentral:rRNA from 1 species